rnacentral:rRNA from 1 species
AUUGAACGCUGGCGGCAUGCUUUACACAUGCAAGUCGAACGGUAACAGGGUGCUUGCACCGCUGACGAGUGGCGAACGGGUGAGUAAUGCGUCGGAACGUGCCGAGUAGUGGGGGAUAACGCAUCGAAAGGUGUGCUAAUACCGCAUACGUACUGAGGUAGAAAGUGGGGGACCUUCGGGCCUCACGCUAUUCGAGCGGCCGACGUCUGAUUAGCUAGUUGGUGAGGUAAAGGCUCACCAAGGCGACGAUCAGUAGCGGGUCUGAGAGGAUGAUCCGCCACACUGGGACUGAGACACGGCCCAGACUCCUACGGGAGGCAGCAGUGGGGAAUUUUGGACAAUGGGCGCAAGCCUGAUCCAGCCAUGCCGCGUGUCUGAAGAAGGCCUUCGGGUUGUAAAGGACUUUUGUCCGGGAGCAAAUACCCAGUGCUAAUAACGCUGGGGGCUGAGAGUACCGGAAGAAUAAGCACCGGCUAACUACGUGCCAGCCGCCGCCGUAACAC